CGGGAGGAGGAAAAUCUCGCGAGAAUCCCCAGGCCGCCCCGCCCCGCCCCCGUGCGUUCAGACUCACCGCCGGGCUGGGGCUGCUGCCAGGUGCGGUGACGUCACGGCCGGGGCUCUCACGCCGCCCGCGUUCAGGUGCGCAGAGCGGAUGAGGGAGACAGGCGGCGGAGCUGCGGUCACUUCUCUGCCUUGAGUACGGCAGGCUUCGGGGGACCUGAAAGAGACCGCGAAAGAGACGUGCAAGGGUACAGAGAAAGAGAGAACCCACUUUCUUUCGACCUUUAGAGACCCAGCUGCAAACAGGACCUGCAGUUUGCCUUGCAAAGUUCUGUAUGAAUUAGAAGCAUUUCUUCAUCCAAAAAAAAAAAAAAAUCGUAGGCACAGAAUAAAUUCUUUUACAGGAUUCAA